GUUAUUCUUUGAACGGAUUAGUACCUGGUUUGUUAUUUAUUGCUUUUAUUAGGAAAAGUUUAUGUUUCAAAGAAGAAUUGAAAAAAAGAACGGAAAAUGGCUAAAUGAAGCAAAUCCAAAGUAUGGGGACCAAAGUGUAAAUAUUUAAUGGUUGAUUUGGACCACAAAAGAUACUUUGAACAUUGAUAGGAGUCAAUUGAAUGCAAA
rnacentral:lncRNA from 1 species